AAUUGUCACUAUACAUUAUUAGCGAUAAAUUUGUAUUGAAUUGCUUCUUAUUGUUGAAAGUAUUAAUGAUAGAUAACUAAUCACUAAAAUUUAUUAGUGAUGAAUUUGUAUAGAAUAUCUUCUUGCUAUUAAAAGUAUUAGCGACAAAUAAAUUGUCACUAAAAAUGAUUAAUGAUGACAUUGUAAAAAAUAGCUUAUUACUGCUAAAAGUUUUAGCAACAAAUACAUUGUUGAUAAGGUAAUUAGCGAUAGAUUUUUAUUACUAAUUUAUAUUAUUAACGAUAAA
rnacentral:misc_RNA from 1 species